rnacentral:lncRNA from 1 species
CUCUCAUCAGAUUGUGGUUUACUCCAACCGCUCCAACUCAAACCGAGAGUCUACAGCGACACUAGCAAAAAGACAUCAUAUUUUAAGAUUUGGAUCCUCAUCAGCUAAAGAAAUAAGUGGAGACAGUAUCACAACUCACCACACACAUGGCACAUACUAAAUAUCAGAUCGAUCACCCUGAAAUGAAGCAAAUAACCUCAUGUAAAAAGAUAGGAUCAUUAGAUGCAAGAGGAGGAUACGAGCACAGGGGAACAGUGGAUCCUACUGUUUUAUGCGUGGGACAGCGUCUAGGGUCAUUGCAUGCCAG